rnacentral:sRNA from 1 species
AGCAGCCGCGGUAAUUCCAGCUCCAAUAGCGUAUAUUAAAGUUGUUGCAGUUAAAAAGCUCGUAGUUGAAUUUCGGGAUCAAUAUUUCGGUCAUGCCGUUGGUAUGCACUGUUAUCAUUGAUUUCUCACCUUCUAAAGAACCGUAAUGCCAUUAAUUUGGUGUUACGGGGAAUUAGGACUGUUACCUUGAAAAAUUAGAGUGUUUAAAGCAGGCUCACGCUUGAAUACAUUAGCAUGGAAUAAUGAAAUAGGACAUCCGAUUCUAUUUUGUUGGUUUCUAGGAUCGAUGUAAUGAUUAAUAGGGAUAGUUGGGGGCAUUAGUAUUCAAUUGUCAGAGGUGAAAUUCUUGGAUUUAUUGAAGACUAACUACUGCGAAAGCAUUUGCCAAGGAUGUUUUCAUUAAUCAAGAACGAAAGUUAGGGGAUCGAAGACGAUCAGAUACCGUCGUAGUCUUAACCAUAAACUAUGCCGACUAGGGAUCGGAUGAUGUUAAUUUUUAAUGA